CCUCUGCUGAGCAAACCUCUUGCAUUUUACUGCGGGAUUAGUGCUGAGGUGCCUCUGCGCGCAGCACCUGUAUCUGCGACUCGUUAUCUUAAUCGCUCUGCUCCCGUCGCUCCUUUUCUCGAGGCGGUUGUGCCGUUCCCUCAGCUGAGGACCGCGUUCGUCAAGCAGCAGGCUGCUUUUGCAGCAGGGAUGGGAAUACCUGAGACUUGUGCUGAUGUCUCACAAGGUUAUCUGCCUAAGAAAAAUGACUUGAAACAGCCUGUUCUGAAGCCAUAGAAGCAGCAGUGACUUUUGAGUACAGCAUGCUGUCUUGCCUCAUAUGCACUCAUUACAUAAGUAUUUUAAGAGUGGAAAUUUUGUCGUUAAAUCUAGAACUGGUGACCACAGCAAAUUCCCAAUCGCUCCAGAUUGCCCCUAGUUCUCCCUUUCUGCCUUGCAUGUGAUCCAGCGCAAUAAAAGCAAAUUCAAGUACA